UGGGGAAUAUUGCACAAUGGGCGAAAGCCUGACGCAGCCACGCCGCGUGAGUGAAGAAGGCCUUCGGGUUGUAAAGCUCUGUCGCCCGGGACGAAAAUCCGGUGAGUGAAUAGCUCAUCGGCCUGACGGUACCGGGAAAGGAAGCACCGGCUAACUUCGUGCCAGCAGCCGCGGUAAUACGAGGGGUGCAAGCGUUGCUCGGAAUUAUUGGGCGUAAAGGGUAGGUAGGUGGUCUCGUUUGUCUGGGGUGAAAGCCUUGAGCUUAACUCAAGAAGUGCCCCAGAAACGGCGAGACUCGAGUACUGGAGAGGGUCGUGGAAUUCCCGGUGUAGCGGUGAAAUGCGUAGAGAUCGGGAGGAACACCAGAGGCGAAGGCGGCGACCUGGACAGUUACUGACACUCAACUACGAAAGCGUGGGGAGCAAACAGG
rnacentral:rRNA from 1 species